UGUGUGGGAAGUUUGAUCACUAUCAUUUUGUUGGCGUGCACUCUAUUUCAUAAGUUGAUCCUUAUUUAUCAUGGAAAUGGACCUUCUCACCUACAUUACUGGUGAUUGAGUCAUAAAAAGUUUAUAGAGGAAGGAGGCAAAGCAAGAUGGCGGAAUAGAACUCUCCAACGUUUGUCCCCAUUCAGCAACACCAAAUUGAACCAACUAUCCAUGCAAAAAAAGCAUCCUUAUCAGAAAUAAAAAUCAGGUGAGUAGUGACAGCACCUAGUUCUAACAUAAUAUCUAGGAAAGAGGUGUUGAAGACUCUUGCAUUACCUA
rnacentral:lncRNA from 1 species